CAGAAGCUGGUGCUUCCCUGAGGCCUGUGCUGUCCCUGCCCAGGUAGCAAGCUGACGGCACACCCGCAGUGACGUAAGUUCCGUGACCUGCUGGGCAUCCGUGCAGUGACCUGCAGUGAAGCUUCCUCAGCCACUCUGAGAUUCUUCCAGUCCUGAUCAUUUCACAAGCUAUGUCUAUUUCUUCAUGAAGUUCAGUGGAGGAAGGAUUAAUUUAUUUGUAGCUAUAAAUAUGUGUUGGGAGCCGCAGCCCCGAGCCCGGUCGCCUCACUUGGCGGACGUGAGGCCUGUAGUAAAGAGCAAAGCCUGAGGUAGAUUGCCCCUCCCAUCGAGCACGUUAGUUUCCUGCUUACCGCGUAAGCAACCCGCUCAACAAUAUAGUCUGCCUGGCAACUGAUGAUGUUAGCCAAUCAGCUUGCCUUGCUUACUUUAACAUGAUUGGACACUGUACCCGUAUAUAUACCGGUGCCACCCCUGGGCGGAAGAAGAAGCCAGGUAGAAGCCCGGAAGUAGAAGCCCAGAAGGAGCCGCGGAGAGCGGACCGGUAGAGGCUUCGGAGCGAAGCCCGGAAGGAGCCGCGGGGAGCGGACCAGAGGAGGCUUCGGCUGGGAGCGAUCCCAGGGCAGGCUGUACGGAGAAGGAAAAUAAAAAGAAAAGGUUGUCCACUACCAGACUUUGUCGUGUGUCCUUCCUGCCGGCCGGGAGCGGACAUCGACAAAUAUGCAUUGUAAAAGUUGCAGGCCCCUGGUCAAGUGAGUUAUACUCACUCCCUAGGAAAUGGAUAACCUGUGCCCUAAAAGACAGAGUUGAACAAGUGACAAAUCAUAAACUGUAUGCAUCUUCUCUACACCAACACUAGUCUUUCCAGAGUUCUUCGGAGACUGAAUCUGAAACCAGUCUUCCUAGAAAAGAAGUAUGGAAGACAAGUGUCACCCAAGUACCGGUAGAGUUGGAACCUGGGAACUUGGAGAGUUUCUGCUAAAUGAGGACCAGAUACUGGAGCCCAAUGCCAGAGGCUCAAGCUAAAGCUCUGUCAUCUCUCAUAGUGACUCUGGACGCUUGGAAACCCAAGAAGCCACUCUGAGCUCCUGGUGAGGCAUGUGUGGGCUCCCCAGUAAAGUUGGGAACAAAAGAACAAAAUCUUGGACAACACUGGGGACAUUAGAGCCAGAGCUGCCUCCAACUGGGGCAUGUCCAGGGGCAAAUCCCCUUGGCUGUCUACAGGAGGUUGGCAGUAGCUGAGAACUCUUUGUUCAGAAUUUCAGAACUGUGUGUUUUUGCUCCCCAGCACGCUGGCUUCAUACGCAUUAUCAUUUUUCUCCAUUCACAUCAUCAUCUUAGCAGAGCGAUCUUCCGUUGCGCUCUAAAAUACACUUGUCUCUGUUCCCAGAAGGAAGAGCGUGGUAAACAGAAAUCAGAUCUCUGUCCUGUGCAGAAGGCAUGCCAUAAUCUUAGGUCCAGUUCCGGUCACCCUCCGUGUCCACGCGACACAAUGGUGAUGGGGAGAAUGCAAGUUCGAGCUGGGGCUGAGCACUUGACACCAGACACGCAAUUUAAUGGGUAUUUUCCCAGGCCACUGGGGCUGUUUGAUCAGCCCCUCUGACUGGUCGCUUUAGUGUUGUGCAGACAGUCUUAAAAAUCAGAUUCAGUUUGUGUAAUCGACCAGAUGACCACCAUUUCACCUCCCCUCCCCACAGUGCCCUUUCUUCUACCCAUUCUUCACGCCAUUCAAAGUGGGCAGGGUCAGGGGCAGGACACAAGCGCCGGCCUCAGGGGCCCUUGGGCCAGUACCAGCUGGGAGAUCCAUCAGCACCGUGACCGGGGCAAGCUGCGGCCCUGGGAGAACCGGGGCAGUGUCUGCCUGACACCGCACAGACUCCAAGAUGUAAUUCCUAAGUGUCUUCCCACCCUUCCACCUCAUACUGCUUAGAAGCCUUUUAGAUAAGGGACCAAGCUUUGCUCACUUUAUCCCUGGGAAUAAAAUAGUUAUGCUGUAAAUAUUUGUGAAUUAAACAAUUGGCUCAGUAAAUUUGUUUGGUGGACAAGAAGACAAGCACCCCAGUUCCACGCCCCUCAGUGUGAAGAGGCAUGUGUGUGUUUUCUCUUUUGCUCAUUUUUCCAGCUCCUCCUCCCC